GUAGGUGGCAAGCGUUGUCCGGAAUUAUUGGGCGUAAAGCGCGCGCCGGCGGUUCUUUAAGUCUGAUGUGAAAGCCCACGGCUCAACCGUGGAGGGUCAUUGGAAACUGGAGAACUUGAGUACAGAAGAGGAAAGCGGAAUUCCACGUGUAGCGGUGAAAUGCGUAGAGAUGUGGAGGAACACCAGUGGCGAAGGCGGCUUUCUGGUCUGUAACUGACGCUGAGGCGCGAAAGCGUGGGGAGCAAACAGGGAUUAGAUACCCUGGUAGUCCACGCCGUAAACGAUGAGUGCUAAGUGUUAGGGGGUUUCCCGGUCCCCUUAGUGCUGCAGCUAACGCACUAAGCACUCCGCCUGGGGAGUACGGCCGCAAGGCUG
rnacentral:rRNA from 1 species